ACCCCAGUGGCCUAAUGGCCAAGGCCUUGGCCUCCUAAGCCAGGGAUUGUGGGUUCAAGUCCCAUCUGGGGUG